CCCCCCCCCCCUCCCCCGGUAUUCAUUGUCUUCUACAGUAGAGCGGGACAUUUAAUUUACUCUCAGCGGAAUUGACCGGAGAAGGCAUCAGUUCAUGCACUGCACUGGCCCGCACCACGAUUAGUAUAAGGUAAGAAUGAAUGAUUUUUUUUUCCUACUCGGUAUUUCCAUGUUUGCAUUUGAAUAACAUUUAAAAAAAAACUUGUUAAUGUUGUACAUUAACGAGUUUUUUAAAUUGUGUCUACUUCUUACAAUCUGGCAACAAAUAAAUUGCACUGCGAACAAAGUAUAUCAACAAAGAAAACAUUUUCGUUUCAUAAUUUCUUCGUUAUAUUCCCUUACAAAGCUAGCUUUAACGCUUCGAGGUUUCCUUUGUUCUUGCCGUCGCCUCGGCGCUUGACCCAGACUUUCGCUCUGUAGUUGCUUAUACUACAAAAAAUUCUAAAUCUGUGAUAUAUGAUUGAUAAACGUAAAGUUAACUGUAUAAACGUGUUCAAUGACUUUGUUACUUUUGAUGAUUGGAGAGCACUCGCUUCAAUUCGCACACGAAAACUUUAGACUCAGUUUGAAAGCUCACGCAGCAUGCGUGACUCUACGUUGCACGCUCAACUAACUUUAAGUUGCACGCGUACAUGACUUUCCGUUUGUGCCUUGAAUAAUGAAUAAGGCUACGUCCACACGUACCAGCGUAUUUCUGAAACCGCUGAUUUUUCUAUGCGUUUGCACCUUUUGUCCACACGUAAUGUAUGUCUGGCCGUACAUUGUGUUUGUAUUUCCAGGCACAUUUCACGAAGCAGAACGCAGUCUUCAGAGAUAUCCACGUGAACGCUGUGAUACGUCUGACCUUCAGUCCGAAGCUGAAACUCAGACCAGUCUUAAAAGAAAGCACAAACCAAAUCCCCUGUACACAUAUACGGACUCAGAGGAUGAGCAGCCUACAAAAAAACGGUUUCCCCGGGCCCCUCGAGUGAAAAUACCAGCCCUCAUCACUCCGCAGUCUGCCCCCCAGCCCACUGAUAGCAACCAUCAUAAUGCCCCACCCAGCUUCCGGCACCUUUCGCCACUCCGGCACAAACCGACACAGCUUUGCGAUCUCGCCAGCAUGCAGAGUCUGAUGU